rnacentral:rRNA from 1 species
CCUACGGGUGGCAGCAGUGAGGAAUAUUGGUCAAUGGACGCAAGUCUGAACCAGCCAUGCCGCGUGCAGGAAGACGGCUCUAUGAGUUGUAAACUGCUUUUGUACGAGGGUAAACGCAGAUACGCGUAUCUGUAUGAAAGUAUCGUACGAAUAAGGAUCGGCUAACUCCGUGCCAGCAGCCGCGGUACUACGGAGGAUUCAAGCGUUAUCCGGAUUUAUUGGGUUUAAAGGGUGCGUAGGCGGUCGGAUAAGUUAGAGGUGAAAUCCCGAGGCUCAACUUCGGAAUUGCCUCUGAUACUGUUCGGCUAGAGAGUAGUUGCGGUAGGCGGAAUGUAUGGCGUAGCAGUGAAAUGCUUAGAGAUCAUACAGAACACCGAUUGCGAAGGCAGCUUACCAAGCUACUUCUGACGUUGAGGCACGAAAGCGUGGGGAGCAAACAGGAUUAGAUACCCCGGUAGUC